AUGGCGGACGUCUAUACACAACCGACCCAGGCUGCAACUACGUCGGCUACACCGACCACGAUCCGAGCCUGCAUCAACCUUGCGUCUGCAUCGACCUCUCUACCGAGCCGAACAUCUCACUGUACGACUACGCUAGGCUACGAGCCAACAUGCUUCUUCACGGCAUCGACACCUUGUCGCCACGAGGGACGCCUCCAAGCGACGUAUCAUCGUCGACACGCCGUUGCGACACCAUCGCCGACACUUCAUCACCAUGGUCUUCAUCAACAUCUUCGUCAACACACCGCCGUCGCCCCGUCCACAAAAUGGACACCUAACGUCCUCUGA
rnacentral:rRNA from 1 species